UACGGAGGAUGCAAGCGUUAUCCGGAAUGAUUGGGCGUAAAGCGUCCGUAGGUGGCAAUGUAAGUCUGCUGUCAAAGCGUCUGGCUCAACCAGAUAAAGGCAGUGGAAACUACAUAGCUAGAGUAAGGUAGGGGUAGAGGGAAUUCCUGGUGUAGCGGUGAAAUGCGUAGAGAUCAGGAAGAACACCGGUGGCGAAAGCGCUCUGCUGGACCUAAACUGACACUGAGGGACGAAAGCUAGGGGAGCGAAUGGG
rnacentral:rRNA from 1 species